ACACGAGCUAAUUUCACCGAAGUAAAUAACAAAAUGUAAAUACGUAUUCAUAUACAAUUAUACAUUCACGAAGUGAUCAAUUGGUCUGAAACUCAUUUCAGCUGAAUUAAUAAUUUCAAUAUUGUAAUAUCGUUUCGAGUGUCGUUUAUUUUGAAAAUUACGAAUAAAUAACAAAAUGAAAGCUGCCAUUGUAUUCCUGAUCGUAUCAGCAGUCUGCGUUUGCAUGGUAUUAGCCCAACAAAUGAAUAUUGACGAGUCGAAGUCAAAUGAUCACGAUGCGUAUCUAUCCGAUAGCUGUUAAUCCGAAGCAUGCUCAGAAAUAAAGUGACGUAGAAUGAAUUUUUUAAAUUUAAUGUUAACCUAACCUUAAGUCUUGUACAACGUUAUUAUAUGUAAUAAAUCCAAGAAUACAUCUUUGAAAAUGUAUUGCCUGAGUGUUAUUAUGUUUACAUAAAACUCGACGAAAACUAGCUUCUGAAAGCGUAGCAAAGAUCAAAUUUUCAUUUGGAGGGUCCAAAAUUUGGAGAAGAGGGUUUUAAAAUCAACACACAUUUUUUGGGGGGGAAAGUGUUUUUUUGUUCUAAAUCUUCUAAAACGAACCGAUUUGGUCCAAUGGAGAGGGUAGAUAUGUCCCAAGAACCAGACUUGUGGAAUUCUUGUACCCCUAUACCCAAAUGUUUUGAUAAAACUUGAGUUCGGAGCUCUGAAUUUGCGAAAGAGGGUAUCCAUUAUCCAACAUUGGAACCGAUUUGGUACCAUUAGAGGAGAGGAGGGGGGGUAUAUGCCUCAAAAACCAAAUUCUUGGAAUUUUUGAACCUUCUUCUAAAGAAUUUUUGGAAUCCAAAUCAGUACGAGUAAGAUUCAAUAAUAUGUAUUGUAUUUGAUUAAAAAAAAAUUAUUCUGAUUAUUGAUAACGACUCUCUUGCGAUAUAUCGGAAUUUUUCAUCAGCAAUUAACGAUAAUACUCGUAUAUUGAUAAAAAAAAGUGAUUAUAACUAUAACCUAAUUUCACAGAUAUCAUUACCGAAUUGGUCUUAGGUUCAUUUUAGCUAAAUUAAUGUGAAAAUCUCGUUCUGACAGUUAUUUUUUUUUUUAGACAAUGAAAAACAAAAUGAGAGAAAUUAUUGUAUUCCUGAUUGUAUUAGCAGUAGCAGUCUGCGUUCCCAUACUAUCAGACUUUUCAGAACGUGACGAUUCUGUAUUCUCAGAUCCAUUGGAAUCGUUAGGUGGUCAAUUCGACUUCAAGAAAUCUAACGAAUACGACUGAAGCUGAUUCGAUUCCACACAAUUAGAUCGACCACGAUUGGAUUCCCUCAUUUCACGUGUACAGAUGUUUGAAGAUCACCAUUUUAUUGCUCAAGUGUUGAUGUUUGUUUUUUAUAAUGGCAUUUUAAAAUAGAUUUUUACUCGAAUUUAUUAAGUUGAUACCAAUAUUGUGUUUUUGAAAAAUUUGUGUACCUACGUUCUUUUUGGAGACCAAUUCCCCCCCUCCAUCAAAAGCCCAUAUCAUUUUCGUACAAACACAAAUCUAGCAUUUCUGAUGGUGUUAUCAGUCUGCGUUUCCAUGGUUUCGUCGGCUCCACAACGUUUUGAUUGGUCGGGUACUGACCAAUCACAUUCCGAACAGUCAGGUUCCGAACACUCGGAUUCUCAGAUAUCGAAUUCCGAACAAUCAGAUAAUGAACAGUUAGAUUCUGAGCAGCAGACCGAUUCCGAGCAAUCCAAUUCCUAUCGGAAGUAAUUCGAUCCCUCGCAAUCAAAUCCAGUACGAUCCAGAUCCUCAUCUGUCAGAAAUCCUACCAUCAUAAUCGAGAAAAAAAUUGAGAAUCAGGUUGGAGAAAGGUUCAUCUGACAUUACGUACGAUUCAGGCCUCGUAUCUCAUCGUAAGUGAGCUCCAAAGGCUCAAGACCCAGGUGCUGAAGAUGAAUUUGUAAAACUUUAAUUUUCUACGUUUAUAAGAAUCCUAAGUACCUACUUUAAAAAUACAUUGUUUAAGAGUUUAUGAUUAUUAGAGUGAAUCGGGAAGCAAAAAAUUGAAAAACUUUGGUCAACUUUUACAUACGAGUAGAUUUGCAUUUCAAGUUGAAAAAAAAAACAUUUUAAUUCCGGAGAGAGGCGUUCUUGGAGGGAAGAUAUGGGCAAUCAAAGAGGCACAUUUUUUAAAAAAAAUGUUCAUUUUUUGGCUCCAACUUUUACUCAAUCUGUUUCAGGAAAAAUGAUCCAAAUCCAAAAUAUAGUCUGGGUAGUUCCAAGUCAAAUCAGUCUUCUUUUGGGCCCAGAUCACUCGAUUUGGCUCGUUUUUUUGCAGGUUUCUCACAUUAGGGAAGAAAGAAAUCGCCAUCAUUGGGGGUUCUGAAAUAUGCCCCAAAACUUUCAAAAGUUCAAAGUUGAGUUUUUUUGAUUUUUUCAAUUCGACCCCCUCUGUUGUCUCCUAUACUUACUAUAGCCUCCUUCCUCCCGAUUUCCUGAGAGUUAGAAAAACAAUGUGAUACAUAUUACAUAUCAGAUUCAUUAGGGUUUUGAGAGCAGAGAAUUUAAAAUUGUGCAAUAUUUGAAAAAAAUCUCUAUCUCUGAUAUGUAUGUAGGUUCUUUAAAAAAAAUUCUUGGAUAGCAAAUCCUAUUUCGUAAUUUUUUAUCGACAUUUAUUACGAUAUAUAUUUACCAAAAACGAUCACGAGCACGAGCUAAUUUUAUGGAUAUCAAUUGCAAAAUAUCAGGGUCCGGACGCGUUCACUGAUGUUCAAUUUGUCUAUAGAAAAUUCCAGCUAAAUUAAUGUAUUGUUUUGGGAGUCAGUUAUUUCAAAAACAAUAAAGAAAAUGAGAGCAGUCUUCGCAUUCCUGAUGGUA